rnacentral:rRNA from 1 species
AUGCACGCUGGCGGCUUGCCUAAUACCUGCAAGUAGAACGCUGAAGGCGGAGCUUGCUCUUCUGGAUGAGUUGCGAACGGGUGAGUAACGCGUAGGUAACCUGCCUGGUAGCGGGGGAUAACUAUUGGAAACGAUAGCUAAUACCGCAUGACAACAGUUAUUGCAUGAUAACUGUUUAAAAGGGGCAACUGCUCCACUACCAGAUGGACCUGCGUUGUAUUAGCUAGUUGGUGAGGUAACGGCUCACCGAGGCGACGAUACAUAGCCGACCUGAGAGGGUGAUCGGCCACACUGGGACUGAGACACGGCCCAGACUCCUACGGGAGGCAGCAGUAGGGAAUCUUCGGCAAUGGACGGAAGUCUGACCGAGCAACGCCGCGUGAGUGAAGAAGGUUUUCGGAUCGUAAAGCUCUGUUGUAAGAGAAGAACGAGUGUGAGAGUGGAAAGUUCACACUGUGACGGUAGCUUACCAGAAAGGGACGGCUAACUACGUG